GGUGGCUAUGUAGUACACUCCCACCCUUAACUAAAUAUUUAUGCACUAUCUGUAGUGCAUCUAGAAAUAUAGAACAUAGGGGAUAAGACAUACCUAGACACCCUAUGCGCUAGAUCAAGAAGGAUCAAAUGCGGGACCUCAGACUUGGCUCCACUCUCAACAUCAGUGGUCCUAAUAGUAGCCAGGACACUUUUAGCAAUAGUGGCAUCGGUGGUGAUAGGUACACUCAAUAGUGGCUCAGCUGGAGGGGUUGUACUACUGCUUGGCUUAACAAAAUCAAUGGGUCUCAAACUACCAGCCCCCGCCGC
rnacentral:lncRNA from 1 species